rnacentral:rRNA from 1 species
CACCGGCAGCCCAAGUGGUGGCCAUUUUUACUUGGGUCUAAAGCGUCCGUAGCCGGCCUGAUUAGUUCCUUGGGAAAUUUGACCGCUCAACGAUCAAGCUUCCAGGGAAUACUGCCGGGCUUGGGACCGGGAGAGGUCAGAGGUACCUCAAGGGUAGGGGUGAAAUCCGUUAAUCCUUGGGGGACCGCCAGUAGCGAAGGCGUCUGACCAGACCGGAUCCGACGGUGAGGGACGAAGGCUAGGGGAGCGAACCGGAUUAGAUACCCGGGUAGUCCUAGCUGUAAACGAUGCGGGCUAGGUGUUGGCAUUACUGCGAGUGAUGCCAGUGCCGAAGGGAAGCCGUUAAGCCCGCCAUCUGGGGAGUACGGUCGCAAGGCUGAAACUUAAAGGAAUUGGCGGGGGAGCACUACAACGGGUGGAGCCUGCGGUUC